rnacentral:RNase_P_RNA from 1 species
GGACAGGCGUUCGCGGCUGCAAGUGGAGAAAUCCCGCAGGUGAGGAAAGUCCGGGCUUCAUAGGGCAGGAUGCCGGUUAACGGCCGGUGGAGGAAACUCUAAGGAAAGUGCAACAGAAAUAUACCGCUCCUUUGGGAGUAAGGGUGGAAUGGCAGUGUAAGAGACUACCGCCUCGCUGGUAACAGGGAGGGCACAUGUAAACCCCAUCCGAAGCAAGACCGAAACAAAGCAUUGACGUGGCCCGCUAGCUUUAGGUAGGUCGCUUGAGGCGUCUGGUAACAGCCGUCCUAGAAAGAUGAACGCUCAACGACAUAACCCGGCUUAUCGUUCUGCUUA